CGGGGUGUAGCUCAGACUGGUAGAGCACUGCGUUCGGGACGCAGGAGUCGCUGGUUCAAAUCCAGUCACCCCGA
rnacentral:tRNA from 1 species